GCCCAUUCGGGGUGGAUUAGUGGCGAACGGGUGAGUAACACGUGGGCAAUCUGCCCUUCACUCUGGGACAAGCCCUGGAAACGGGGUCUAAUACCGGAUAAUACCUUCUCUCGCAUGGGAGAGGGUUGAAAGCUCCGGCGGUGAAGGAUGAGCCCGCGGCCUAUCAGCUUGUUGGUGAGGUAGAAGCUCACCAAGGCGACGACGGGUAGCCGGCCUGAGAGGGCGACCGGCCACACUGGGACUGAGACACGGCCCAGACUCCUACGGGAGGCAGCAGUGGGGAAUAUUGCACAAUGGGCGAAAGCCUGAUGCAGCGACGCCGCGUGAGGGAUGACGGCCUUCGGGUUGUAAACCUCUUUCAGCAGGGAAGAAGCGAAAGUGACGGUACCUGCAGAAGAAGCGCCGGCUAACUACGUGCCAGCAGCCGCGGUAAUACGUAGGGCGCAAGCGUUGUCCGGAAUUAUUGGGCGUAAAGAGCUCGUAGGCGGCUUGUCACGUCGGUUGUG
rnacentral:rRNA from 1 species